UACGUAGGGUGCAAGCGUUGUCCGGAAUCAUUGGGCGUAAAGCGCGCGCAGGUGGUUCCUUAAGUCUGAUGUGAAAGCCCCCGGCUCAACCGGGGAGGGUCAUUGGAAACUGGGGAACUUGAGUGCAGAAGAGGAAAGUGGAAUUCCACGUGUAGCGGUGAAAUGCGUAGAGAUGUGGAGGAACACCAGUGGCGAAGGCGACUUUCUGGUCUGUAACUGACACUGAGGCGCGAAAGCGUGGGGAGCGAACAGG
rnacentral:rRNA from 1 species